ensembl:ncRNA C18D1.13 ncRNA
GAAUGGCGGUGUGCCAAACUUCAGAAGAGACUUCACAUCACUCAUUGAUGCGUGAAUGAAUUGAAUUUCUUUUCUCUCUUGUCAAGAAAUAUUUGGUAAAUGUGAUGGUGGUGGUAGUGGUAGACGACAUACUUCAAUUUGAAGGAAAAGCCACCACCCCAUCACUAAUGGGAGAGAGGUCCCU